rnacentral:rRNA from 1 species
UACGUAGGGUGCAAGCGUUAAUCGGAAUUACUGGGCGUAAAGCGUGCGCAGGCGGUUCGCUAAGACAGAUGUGAAAUCCCCGGGCUUAACCUGGGAACUGCAUUUGUGACUGGCGGGCUAGAGUAUGGCAGAGGGGGGUAGAAUUCCACGUGUAGCAGUGAAAUGCGUAGAGAUCCGGAGGAACCCCAGAGGCGAAGGCGGCGCCCUGGCUCGCAACUGACGCUCAGACACGACAGCAUGGGGAGCGAACGGG